AAAAGCUGGCGGCAUGCCUACACAUGCAGUCGAACGAUGCUUUCGGGCAUAGUGGCGCACGGGUGCGUAACGCGUGGGAAUCUGCCCUUAGGUUCGGAAUAACAGCGAGAAAUUGCUGCUAAUACCGGAUGAUGGCGUAAGUCCAAAGAUUUAUCGCCUAGGGAUGAGCCCGCGUAGGAUUAGCUAGUUGGUGUGGUAAAGGCGCACCAAGGCGACGAUCCUUAGCUGGUCUGAGAGGAUGAUCAGCCACACUGGGACUGAGACACGGCCCAGACUCCUACGGGAGGCAGCAGUGGGGAAUAUUGGACAAUGGGCGCAAGCCUGAUCCAGCAAUGCCGCGUGAGUGAUGAAGGCCUUAGGGUUGUAAAGCUCUUUUACCCGGGAUGAUAAUGACAGUACCGGGAGAAUAAGCCCCGGCUAACUCCGUGCCAGCAGCCGCGGUAAU
rnacentral:rRNA from 1 species